rnacentral:rRNA from 1 species
GACGAACGCUGGCGGCGUGCUUAACACAUGCAAGUCGAACGGAAAGGCCUCUUUCGGGGGGUACUCGAGUGGCGAACGGGCGAGUAACACGUGAGUAACCUGCCCUUGUCUUUGGGAUAACUUCAUGAAACUGGGGCUAAUACCGGACAGGAGCUCCUGCUGCACGGUGGGGUUUGGAAAGUUUCGGCGGUUGGGGAUGGACUCGCGGCUUAUCAGCUUGUUGGUGGGGUAGUGGCUUACCAAGGCUUUGACGGGUAGCCGGACUGAGAGGGUGACCGGCCACAUUGGGACUGAGAUACGGCCCCGACUGCUACGGGAGGGAGCAGUGGGGAAUAUUGCACAAUGGGUGGAAGCCUGAUGCAGCAACGCCGUGUGCGGGAUGACGGCCUUCGUGUUGUAAACCGCUUUCGCUCAUGACGAAGCUUUGUGUGACGGUAGUGGGUAAAGAAGCACCGGCUAACUACGUG